rnacentral:ncRNA from 1 species
CUGAACGUGGCGUAAAGGGUGGACGUAAACCCAGAUGGGUUAUGUGCCCAUUCCCUGCCAUCCCAAUGGCCAGGUGAACGCCCACAUCAG